GUCUACGGCCAUGCCACCCUGAACAAGUCCUGAUUUCUGAAGCUAAACAGGCAGGGUUGGGCCUGGUUAGUUCUUGGAUGGGAGACCACCUAGGAAGACCAGGUGCUGUAGACU
rnacentral:rRNA from 1 species